rnacentral:misc_RNA from 1 species
ACUAAUUGGUCAGUUAUCGGCGAAGGAAAUAGCGGUAUUUUAUCGCGAGAUAGGUUGCCAGAGCAGUGUCCAGUUCGAGCAUAAACUUCCUUGUCGUGUUUCGAGAUAUCGAACCGGCAACGAUUCUUUUUCAAGUUUCUCCCGCCUUUUCCUUCGUAACGCGAAUGUCAUUAUUAAUCUACAGCCUGUAGCGAGCAAUCGGUGGACGCGGAUGUGUACGCGCAAGCUAGACAGGAACGACCGAUGAGUAAUGGUUCGUCCGUCAAUUAUAAAUACGAUUUCAGUUCGUUGCGCAACAAACUGCUUAUCGUCGCUCGCGUUCGAUCCUACGUGACUAUCAACCUGGCCAAUUUUAUCUCGCACAGGGAUGCGAGUGCCUUUCACCGUUUCCUGUUGUUUAUCGUCGCUGUUAUUAUCUGCAUUUUAUACUCCUGCUUGUUUUUCCUGUUGCAUGUCGCAAAAUUUGAAUAAAUUAGGGGAACGAUUGUUCGCGUCGGAUACACGCGCGAAGGCGACGCGUGAAUGGAGACUCGCCAUAUUGAUUUCAACGAUCAAGCAAACCUUGUUCAGGAUGGUUGAACCUGGCUGAAUCUCUUUUUUUUGUGUCUUGAAGUCAUCGACCUUUUUGUACACGAAUAUAGUACACAUUC